UACGGGGGGGGCAAGCGUUGUUCGGAAUUACUGGGCGUAAAGGGCUCGUAGGUGGCCAACUAAGUCGGACGUGAAAUCCCUCAGCUUAACUGGGGAACUGCGUCCGAUACUGGAUGGCUCGAGUUUGGGAGAGGGGUGCGGAAUUCCAGGUGUAGCGGUGAAAUGCGUAGAUAUCUGGAGGAACACCGGUGGCGAAGGCGGCAUCCUGGACCAACACUGACACUGAGGAGCGAAAGCCAGGGGAGCAAACGGG
rnacentral:rRNA from 1 species